UUUCCACCGGCUUUUUGUUCAUGGUGUUGUGCACCUACCUCCUCUUCAUCACCACCAUCAUCAUCACCAUCAUCUUGUACCUGUGGGUUAGUACCAACAUAAAGCAAAUUUUCCACCACCUCCGGAUUAGUAAUGUCCGAAUUAGGUAGAAUAAUCAAACAAUUAGCUCUAAUGAUUCUCCAUUCAUAUUGGUAAUUGUGAGUAG
rnacentral:lncRNA from 1 species